GACGAACGCUGGCGGCGUGCCUAAUACAUGCAAGUCGAGCGAAGUUUUUCUGGUGCUUGCACUAGAAAAACUUAGCGGCGAACGGGUGAGUAACACGUAAAGAACCUGCCUCAUAGACUGGGACAACUAUUGGAAACGAUAGCUAAUACCGGAUAACAGUAUUUCUCGCAUGAGAGAUAUUUAAAAGUUGGUUAUGCUAACACUAUGAGAUGGCUUUGCGGUGCAUUAGCUAGUUGGUGGGGUAAAGGCCUACCAAGGCGACGAUGCAUAGCCGACCUGAGAGGGUGAUCGGCCACACUGGGACUGAGACACGGCCCAGACUCCUACGGGAGGCAGCAGUAGGGAAUCUUCCGCAAUGGGCGAAAGCCUGACGGAGCAA
rnacentral:rRNA from 1 species